UAACGAUAUGAACUUGUAUAAUGUAAAGUAUCUUUUAAUACAAUUUAUUCAAGUGUGCACUUUAAUUUGCAUUAUAUAAUUUGAAGUGCUUACCAAA